AGAACAUAGAGUAAACUUGAAACUAAUAACAAUAAUAAGAAGAAGAAAUGAAAUCCGUAGACAUAUAUAAAUAGAUGGUGGGUUCCGUUCAGUUAGUUUCUUGUAGAAACUAUAAGCAAUUUGAGUGGGAAAUGGAUUCAGCAUCUCUGGCUGCUCGCGCGUCUCUUCAUCCGCAGCAGAAUCUUCACUCUGUCUUCGUCUACGGCUCUCUCAUGGCUGAUGAAGUUCUUCGUAUCCUCUUGAAGCGUACUCCUCAAUCUUCUGAUGCCGUUCUCAAUGGCUAGUUUUGCUGCUUAGUUUAACAUUAGCGUUAUGCGAGAAAGGAUUAUGAUGAGAAAUACUCUUCUACUCUCGGCUCUUUGGUUUGCGAAUCGUGCUGUUAUUUUCUUCUCUUUCAAUCAAUCAAUUCGAGGCUAAAGUCGCAUUGAUGAUGCUAAUUUGUGCUGAUUUCCUGAAGGAGAAUUUCACUCGCCAAAGACUGAGUGUUAAAGGACGUCUUUAUCCAGCGAUCAUACCUGUUACAAGCAAGAAAGUAUCUGGGAAGAUUAUUUCAGGGAUCAAAGACUCUGAAAUGCAUCUCUUAGACGCAUAUGAGGAUUUUGAAUACAAGAGGAUUACAGUUGAGGUCUCUUUAAUGGAUAGUUUGGAGAAGCUAUUAGUUUAUGCUUAUGUUUGGGGCAACGAAAAGGAUCCAAACUUGUAUGGAGACUGGGAUUUUGAGGAGUGGAGGCGAGAUCAUCUGGAAGCAUACAUUGAGAUGGUCGAGGAAUUUAUGGAAGAGUAUGAGCAGCACCCCGGACCCUAAAAUUUUAUGGUCUCCAAUGGAGAAGGAUAGGCGAUGCUAAGAACUAGCUCUCCAAUCUACAGGAGAAGAACCUUCGAAAAUAAAGGGAGAGUAACCCGUUGCAUCUUUGUACCUUUGUUGAAUCUGGGGGAUCAACCAAUAACCCGUACGAUAAGGUCAGUCAGUUUUUAAGGAUUCAUUGAAAAUUUGUGUCAUCCUAUAACUUUGUAAUAUAACAAUCUAUUUAUUCACUUUGACUACUUAUUGAGUCUAGGCAAAAUAUAUUAUUACCACUUGGCAGCA